CCGCUCAUUGCCAUGACUUGCUGGGGAAGACGAGAGGAGGUCAGCGGUGAGCACAAACAUAGAGCCUCCUGUAGGGGCCCUUGAGGAUGGCCGAGCCGGUCUUCAAGGGUGGUUUAAAUAAUGAGCUCUGUGUGACUGAAUAAAAGUAGAGCUCAAGAUAAAAUCUGAAAUAAAUGAAAAGCAAUUGGUAAACAGCUGCUGUCACAUGCUCUGUUGUGUCUUUGAUGAGUUUCAAUUAAAAAUAGCCCUAAUACAUCCAAAAAAAAAAAAAAAAAACCCAUGGCGAAUUCCCUUUAUUGUCCCUUUAAUGUGUUACUAAGGAGUUAUUGGUAUCAUUUCAUGGCUCCAGCACAAAUGCCUCUAGGAUUUAUUGCUGGGUUCACAUCUCUGCUCUUUUAUGGAUUCCUUCCAAGAGGGGCUUGAAUCCGGGGCUCCCAUUAUAUGUCCCUUGUGGUUGGUUGGCUGGAGCAAGCUGCAUCAGCAAAUGGCAAUAAAGCUCACCAAGGCAACAACUGUUCUUCACCAGUGUAGUUUGAUUUAGAGCAGAAUGUUUCCAGAUGGGUUCUGAUGUAACCCUUUUCCUUCCAUCUCCCGAUGACACUGAAACUGAAAAAUCAGUCGCAGCACCCAGGUUUUGCUGUCCGUGAACAUGGGGUUCCUGGGGUCAGCAGCGUGGCUAGUGCCUUCCUCAGUCCCGCUUCUUUAACCAGAGGCGGUGGCCAGACCUCAUGAGCCAUCAUCUAGCAGUUACAUUACUGCAUGACAAACUGUCGGAGAGAAAGCUUAGAUCUGCCAGGCUCUACCCCCAGGAAGGAGAGGCCGACCGUCGGUGGUACCAGCUCUAACAGAAAGCCAGUCUUCGGCCGCCGGUGGCCUGCGUGGGCUGGGCUGGGCAGCCGGUGCCUGCAGACUUCUCGAACCUGCCCCCGGGGGUGCUCCCUGGCUCAGCCUCUGUGGAGGAGGCACGAUCAGCGCCAUGAAAGGAGCUUGAGUUCGGGGACACUAAUUAGAGGACUGUCUCCCAUGGAAGUGCAACCCCUGAGCCACCAAGCAGGGAAGACGGGCUGUCCGGCGUGCGUCUGGCUUGGCAAGCAGGCCCGGACACAAUACUCUCUCGUCCUGUACGUGCCAGGCCAAGGAAGGACCGCGAUCAGACUUCCUGUCUUCAUUGCCACACCCUCAGAAAAUCGUACUGAGGAAAAUGUGAGAUUUCCGUUUUAACAGUGAUGGGGAGAGGACGUCUUUCUCAAGCACGACCCAAGUCCAUAAAACAUAAAAACAGAUUUCACUGUAUAAAAUCGCAACACUUCCAUACUGCAAGGAUACUA
rnacentral:lncRNA from 1 species